rnacentral:rRNA from 1 species
AAAACUUUCAACAACGGAUCUCUUGGCUCUGGCAUCGAUGAAGAACGCAGCGAAAUGCGAUAAGUAAUACGAAUUGCAGAAUUCCGUGAGUCAUCGAAUCUUUGAACGCACAUUGCGCCCUCUGGUACUCCGGAGGGCAUGCCUGUCCGAGCGUCAUU